rnacentral:tRNA from 1 species
GCAGUGGUGGUUCAGUGGUAGAAUUCUUGUCUUCAGUGCAGAAAACCUGGGUUCUAUUCCCAGCCAAUGUA